ACGCUGGCUACAGGCUUAACACAUGCAAGUCGAGGGGAAACGACGGGGAAGCUUGCUUCCUUGGGCGUCGACCGGCGCACGGGUGAGUAACGCGUAUCCAACCUGCCUCUGACUGAGGGAUAACCCGUCGAAAGUCGGCCUAAUACCUCAUGGUAUCGUCUGCGGGCAUCCAAUGACGAUUAAAGAUUUCAUCGGUCAGGGAUGGGGAUGCGUCUGAUUAGCUUGUUGGCGGGGUAACGGCCCACCAAGGCGACGAUCAGUAGGGGUUCUGAGAGGAAGGUCCCCCACAUUGGAACUGAGACACGGUCCAAACUCCUACGGGAGGCAGCAGUGAGGAAUAUUGGUCAAUGGGCGAGAGCCUGAACCAGCCAAGUAGCGUGCAGGAUGACGGCCCUAUGGGUUGUAAACUGCUUUUAUGCGGGGAUAAAGUGAGGGACGUGUCCUUCAUUGCAGGUACCGCAUGAAUAAGGACCGGCUAAUUCCGUGCCAGCAGCCGCGGUAAUACGGAAGGUCCGGGCGUUAUCCGGAUUUAUUGGGUUUAAAGGGAGCGUAGGCCGUGGAUUAAGCGUGUUGUGAAAUGCAGGUGCUCAACGUCUGCACUGCAGCACGAACUGGUCCACUAGAGUGUGCACAACGCAGGCGGAAUUCGUCGUGUAGCGGUGAAAUGCUUAGAUAUGACGAAGAACUCCGAUUGCGAAGGCAGCUUGCGGGAGCACAACUGACGCUGAAGCUCGAAAGUGCGGGUAUCGAACAGGAUUAGAUACCCUGGUAGUCCGCACGGUAAACGAUGGAUGCCCGUUGUCAGGCUGUUUCAGCCUGGUGACCAAGCGAAAGCAUUAAGCAUCCCACCUGGGGAGUACGCCGGCAACGGUGAAACUCAAGGAAUUGACGGGGGCCCGCACAAGCGGAG
rnacentral:rRNA from 1 species